AGCUGGGCGCAGUGGCAGCAUCGUAGCCAAUGAGGUUUAUCCGAGGCGCGACUAUUGCUGAUUAAAUUCGUCCUGUAAACCCUCAACUGCCCGGGAAACGUCCUCGUUCAAGCCGAGAAUCUGGGUCAGCUGUUUACAA